GCCCAGACCGAGCCCCAGCCUCAGGCCCAGACCGAGCCCCAGCCUCAGGCCCAGACCGAGCCACAGCAUCAGGCCCAGCCAGAGCCACAGCAUCAGUUCUUGGCCCUGGCUGAGUCCCAGCCUCAGGCCCAGGAAAAAGAGACAUUUUAUCUUUUAGAUUUAUACCCCGUCUCUCUCCCUGUGAAAGAACAACCCCCCCCCAAAAAAAGAAAGUGUUGCCGGAAAUGUAGUAGGCAAAAAGUUUUCAAAUAUGACUCCAUAACAGGAAGAAGGAUAAAUGAGGGGCAAGCAGAAGUAAGGGUGAAAUGGUUACCUUGCUCUGCAUGUGGAAAAAUCUGGGAGGAGACAUGGGAGCCGGCCUGCCAGUUCCCACCAGGUGCCAACCAUGUGUGACGUCACCCAUUGGUCUGUAGUUCAAUAUGAGUUGAAUACCUGCUAUGAGUUGUCGAGUUACCCGUUACGGGCACAGCCAUCCUGGUUGCGGAUGUGACUAUUUUAGAUGAGAAGGAGGA